GAAAUGCAUGUACUUGCACGCGGCUGCACGGCCCACGGCGGUGCGCUGCAAGCAGCACUGCAAGGCACGGCGCGCAGUGCCACCACUGUCGCCAUCUCAGCGGAAGGAGCUAGGAAGAGGAAGUCGAGCACAUGCGGCCGCCAAGGUUACGUGAAGCGUACGACAGCUGCAGCCGGAAAAACUCAAGCAAGCCCGACCUCACAGAAGGACGCAGCGCGGGCAGACGGCUCUGACACAGCGGCUGCCCGUCGAUCAGUAUCGUCGUCGGCGCGGUGGGUGGAACGUACUUUGCAGUAUGAUGCUGCCAAGGUGUGGCACCUGGCCAACGUGUUUGCUGGUGCAGAAACCGCUACGGGGAGGCGUCGUACGGCCACUUCAGUGGAGCAGUCUCUUCGCUGCCCGCAGCGACGCCAAAAUCCUGUGACCACCACCACCACCUCGCAUCAACGCGACCACAGCAGCCGGCAUGCCUCGCCUUCCGAUCUGCGAAACCAUAGUGCUGCCUCGGCGUCCGCCACAAACACUGCCGGGGACAGCCAUAACGAGGAGCUUAAAACUUCUGCAAUGAACAGGCUGGCCUCAGCGCUGCUCACACUCGCGCCGUCGCGCUUCACAGACCUUGCGCACGAUCUUGUGCGUGUUCAUAUCUCUGUGAAGUCCCUGUCUAGGAGGGUGCAGCCGCUGGCGCCUUCCUCGCAUGAAGCUGCGGAGGUGCUAACGGCGCUGCUAUCUGAUUCACGACUGGGGCAUUACAUCAAGGACCCGUCUCUUGCGCCGGUUCGGUUUUCGGCAGAGGAGACGCUGCCAGGUGAUACCGUGGCCACCCUUCAUGCUCUGGCAAUCAUGACCUCGGCGCUCGAGGCGAGUUUGCUCGCCUUUCGCAGAAUCGUCGCGGCUCUGGCGCAGGAAUCCAAGACUGCUCCACCUGGACAGACUAAGCGCAGCGUGCGUGGGCAGAACGAAGGUGACCAGGAGACACCGCAGGCGGCGGCGGUGUGGCGCUGCGAGAGGGUCGGUGCGUACAGCCGCCUUCUUACCAAACUCCUGCGCAGGCUUGCUGAAGAGCUGGCUCUUGUAUCACAGCCAUCAUUCCCUGUGUCGCAUGCGAUCGGUGCGCGACUCGACCUGCUUUUGCUGGCCGUGUUCUCGUUGAUGAAGUCUGCGGAGGAGUGCGCGUACGACGCCGGCAAGCCGUCGCCUGGAGACGGAGCAGCGACAGCGAGUGUAGACGGCUUCCGCGCCGAGGGCGUGUCGGAUCAGCUGCAGCACCUGUGUCUCCAGGUGAGUAUCCUGUGCUCUCGAUGGUCUUCGACGGCAGCGAGGACGCGGGCGACUCCUGAGUUGCAACUGGAGCACUUCUACAGCACUUCCUCUCUCUCGCUUUUCGCAGGGCAGGCAAAGAAGCUGCAGAUGCGGAUGCGUGUAGGGGGCCCUGCGUCGUCGUUGGCGGGGUGUGUGCCGGCGCUGCAAAGCAUGGUACUUGUCUACUACGUUACCAUUCUGCGGCUUAUGAUUGCAAUGGACAGGUCAACAGUGAAUGCGGCUUGCAGAGAGGCGGCCCCGAGCGCAAAUCCAAAAGGGGCGGGCGCACAGCUGGAAGGUGAUGCGACCGCGUCGCUGUAUCUCACGGGAGACGAGAGAGUGCAGCUGGCAAAGGGCUUGGAGAUGUUGUGGGGGGAGAUCAAGCCGAAGCGAGUCCUCUCACCCGCGGAGGUAAGCCAGCUGCAACAUCGCACCGUGCAUACGGCGCUGAAUGUCAGCUUGGCAACAUGGUGGAAGGCCGCUGCUGGCACCGCUGCAUCCGCGUCCUCUUCUACGCCUUACUGGAACCAGACGCCCCAGCAAAUCACCGCUCUCCUGUGCAGCUACAACUCCCUCUUGACGGAGUGCAGGGCCGCUCUUCCUGUCUUUGUCGCCCGCAGUGCCUCUGAAACAGUCGCACUGCCUUUGGCGAGCCCAACAGCGUUCCCUGUGUCGCCGGAUCUCUCGUGGUUUGUGCCUUUUCACAGUCGCCUUCUUCGCGUUGGCCUGGACCUGCAACUGGAGGCGACCCUCUUAGCUGCACUUCAUCUCGGUAUAGAACCACGUGCGCCUCCCACCCCGGCCACCCCGAUUGCGAAGUGGAUCGAGUCGCGUCAUAUACAGCGUCUUCGCCGCCGUGGUGCAUCUGGCGAUGCCACAAUGAAAGUGAAUCCACAUGAGACUGCCGAGGCUGACGCAUCUUGGGCUCGUGUGUACCGAUUGUGCGGCGGCCUGCGUGUCGCCGCAACGGAGCUGCUCUACUGCGCCAUCACAGAUGUGUGCUCUCGGGGCGCUAAGAAGCCACUGUCACGGGCGGACAACGGAUCUUGGAGCCCACCAAACCGACCAUCGUUGUCGCAGCGAGGCUCCUUGUCUCCUGCCAUCAACGCCAACACCCGCGACAGCGGCAGCGCCUCACCUCUGGCGGUGGCGCUCGUGAACGCUGUCUCCCGAACGUUCUUUGCUGUUCCUCGCAUGCAAUAUCUUUUCGCGCACUACACGGACGCCACCUACACGGACCAGACUGCCGAGGAGGAGUGCCGCCGAGUGUAUGCUGCGUGCCUCGGUGUACUGGCAUGGCUGCGUGAGCUAGCGGCGCCUUUUGGCGUUCGUUUCGGGGAGUCUCCGGUGGAGCCAUCGGUGCCGCACUCGUCGGACGCCCUUCACGGUGCUCCGCCGCCGCGAAAGUGUUGCAGGGAAGAGUGGCAGGUCUGCGGCACCACAUCGGCCAUCGCCAUGGAUGGCGCCUUCUUCUUUGCCUACUACCUCUACCACUGGUCGGGAGAAACAGGACACCACGCCGGAGUGUCCUGUGACCGUGGCACCGAGGCCGAGCGGACAGCACUCGACGCCGCACUGGCCUCCGACGGUGUCGUGAGUUGGAUGCCGUGCCCCUCCGUCGCCCAUUUUCUCACUGGCGCCACAGCGGUGGAGUACACGAAGGAGAUGCUGUUCCAGCUGCAACACGACACGGCACGCCAGCUGCAGCACCUGCGCGCGACAAACCGGCUCCACCACUUCAGCGGAGAGCUUCAGGACAAGACGAAGCUCCUCCAAGACUCGAAUCUGCGCCAGCGCCACGUCACGUCGACGCUGUCUGUGGUUCAGGCGCACCGCAAGCAGCCAACGCUUCUGUGGAUGCCUUUGGCUCAGGUGCAGGAGAUGGUUUUUCUGUUUGACCAAUACCCGCAGCUGUUUCGCUACAUCGAUUCCGCACCCCGCCUCGGCACUCGCGGUGAUGCCGAGGAGAACUGUGGCGGCGAAGUGGCGCCUAGUGAUGGGACACGGGAAUACCCGAAAGUGCAUGUCGGCGACAUCACGUGCACUUUUUCUCGUGUUCACGGGUACCUUGUGAAGCGCCUGCACGUCUUGAGCGGCAUUCUGCGCGAGUACCGGAGCAUCCUGCUAGAGUCGGUCCCGCAUGAUGCAAUCGACUCUCAUGCAAUCAGCGACGACCCUUCUGCGUCAGUGACGACACCGACGAAGCCCUCUUUCCGAGGCCGGCUUCUUGAAAACGCCAGACGCUCCCCACAGCUGGAGGUGCACCGCCGCAACAAUUACGGAUGGGCACACAUGUGGGCGAUGCAGCUGCACGAGGAGUUCCCUCGACUACCGGCACAGAUGGAGGGUGCGCCGCGGUGGGCCAGCGGUGCUGUGCGCGCGCUGGACAGGAUGGAGCGAACCAUGAACGACACGCACCAGAAGGGUCUCUUUAUCAAUGUAGUCAAGUCACAGCAGCAGUACCGCGAGCUGCAGCGCGCACGGUCCGGGGCGCCUUCGCCCACGCCCGCCAAGGAGGCCGCCCCGGCGGAUGCAACGGAGGACGAGUGCAUUGGGGAGCCGCAGCUGCGUGACGUGGUAGUCCAGCGAGACUCUGAGCGCAUUCCGCUCGGUUUGGUUCUCGACGGCGCCGCGCGAAUCCUGCGUGUGCAGAUGAAGGUGGCUAGACCAGCAGUAGUGGCUGAUGGCAGUGAUGAAGCCGAAGGGGAUCUGCUCGAGUCUCCCUUUGCUCGCGCACUAGCGCAGCAGCAGCAGCAGCAGGGGCAACACCUGCUGUGCAUAUCGAAUCGUGCCGGUGUUUUUGCCGAUGUCGUGGGUUGGCGUGUUUUGCGGGUCAAUGGAAACGCUGUGCGCACAGGCCGUGACGUGGCUGCGCAGGUGCGAGACAAAAUCGAGUUCACCGUCACGCUGCAACCCUGCUCACGAUCUGAGUAAGCGCGCGGACUGGCAGUGCCCGCAGAAGGCGGAUGGUCAAGGUGGUGAUGCUGUGCUGCGAGGAGGUUAACUUUGCAACGCUGCGAAGGGGUAAAGGGAAGAGAUCGGGGCGUCUUGGUGCUGGUGUGUCAGGUCCGCAGAUACCCGGAAACCGAAAGCCGCACAAAUGCCACUAGAAGGGCUCUCUGAUUUGAAACAG
rnacentral:misc_RNA from 1 species